GCGAUGGAGAGUAGAGGGUUGAGAGGAAGGGGAGGAGGAAGGGCUAAUAGUAAAUAGUGGGCAAUGGAAAAUUGGUAAUAGUUGGGUUGAAGCAGAGUUGGGGAGAGGCAGUGAAAGGAGUGAAUGACAGGGGAAUCGAAGGUGGGCGAGAUGAAGAUUAGAGGAGCAGGGCGGCAGGUUGGUAAAAGGUUUGAGUGGCACUAAUCCUACAGGUGACGCGUGGGUCUGUCACGGAGGCGGGAGGCAAGUAGUGUCAUCAGGAAUGGAGGAGUACGCUGGAAGUGAAGGCGGACGGACUGCUCAUGUGCAGACAGAGCUGAGGAGAGUCUGGGAGGCGAGGGGGGAAAAGGAGGAGCAGAGAGAGGAGACCGGUGUGGCGGGAAUCUGACAGGAGGGCUUCCACCCGGCAGCUGAGGGGAACAGACAGACUGGCUGGAGGUUAAAGGGACGCAGCCGAAUCUCCCCAUCACCAGGAGUCUCCUUCCACCUCCAAUGGCUGUCAGGAAAGUGACCAUCAAAGUCAUUUCCAGUGGAUCACAGAGGGCCGACUGUGAUGCACAGAUAGCACCUUGUCUCAUCCACUGGCAGGCCGUCAUUACGCCAAACACCAGGAGAGACGGCUGCUGUGGGCAAGAAGACCUUUAGGAAAAUGUCAGCACCUCCAGUUUUCACCAUUUAACUCUUCCCUCUGCAGCACUACCUGCUCUAAACCCUUUAAUUACACUAUCUGUUUUUUGUGUUUGUAUCCGAGUGAUUUCAGAGCAUGUGGGGCUUUUUUUUAAAUGCAUCCUUGCUGGGAAAAAGGUCCUUUGUUUAGCCAGUCUCAGAAGAAAAAAAAAAUUCAAACAGAACCAGAAGGGACAGCUUUCCAGUCUUUAUAUCCUCAGUGCUUUUUCUGUUAUUUUUGUACAUUUUCAAGUGUGUCUAAUGUGACGUCUGGCCGCAGAAGAGGACACUUGAGGAGAUCCAGCUUUCUUUAAUUUGAAUCACUGAUGCUUUUUUUUUUUGUUCCUAUUUGGCCGUGAUCCACAGUGUAAAUUUUUCCGUUGGAGGGAAACCAAAAAAAAAAAUGCAGUGAAUGAAAGCAUUGAGGCCUCUUUCUGUAGCUAUAAAUAGCACUUUUAAUAAUGCAUGUCAUGCCAAUUUUAGCAUUGAUUUGUGACUAAAAGGAACAUACUAAAUAUUGAGAGAAGUAAUGUUGUUUGUCACUCAUUUGUUCACUUGUUAGCUUAAAAAAAUCCAAUGAAUAAAAGUUUUCCUUCUUGCCUAAAAA